rnacentral:rRNA from 1 species
AUUGAACGCUGGCGGCAGGCUUAACACAUGCAAGUCGAGCGGGGGAAGGUAGCUUGCUACCGGACCUAGCGGCGGACGGGUGAGUAAUGCUUAGGAAUCUGCCUAUUAGUGGGGGACAACAUCUCGAAAGGGAUGCUAAUACCGCAUACGUCCUACGGGAGAAAGCAGGGGAUCUUCGGACCUUGCGCUAAUAGAUGAGCCUAAGUCGGAUUAGCUAGUUGGUGGGGUAAAGGCCUACCAAGGCGACGAUCUGUAGCGGGUCUGAGAGGAUGAUCCGCCACACUGGGACUGAGACACGGCCCAGACUCCUACGGGAGGCAGCAGUGGGGAAUAUUGGACAAUGGGGGGAACCCUGAUCCAGCCAUGCCGCGUGUGUGAAGAAGGCCUUAUGGUUGUAAAGCACUUUAAGCGAGGAGGAGGCUACUUUAGUUAAUACCUAGAGAUAGUGGACGUUACUCGCAGAAUAAGCACCGGCUAACUCUGUGCCAGCAGCCGCGGUAAUACAGAGGGUGCGAGCGUUAAUCGGAUUUACUGGGCGUAAAGCGUGCGUAGGCGGCUUAUUAAGUCGGAUGUGAAAUCCCCGAGCUUAACUUGGGAAUUGCAUUCGAUACUGGUGAGCUAGAGUAUGGGAGAGGAUGGUAGAAUUCCAGGUGUAGCGGUGAAAUGCGUAGAGAUCUGGGAGGAAUACCGAUGGCGAAAGCAGCCAUCUGGCCUAAUACUGACGCUGAGUACGAAAGCAUGGGGGGCAAACAGGAUUAGAUACCCUGGUAGUCCAUGCCGUAAACGAUGUCUACUAGCCGUUG